AAUAUAUAUGUAGGACUCUAAAGUGCGAUGGUACUCUAAAGUACAAUGGUCACGCUAAAGUGCGAUGGUCUACGCUAAAGUGCGAUGGUGUCAGACGCUAAAGUGCGAUGGUUGUUUGUUUUUUAUAUGCGAUCAGAUGACACGCUAAAGUGCGAUGGUAUGCCAUGCUAAAGUGCGAUGGUAUAUGACACGUUAAAGGACGUUGGUUUACACGCCAAAGUGCGAUGGUUUAACGGGAAUGGUGUUCAGGCAAUGUCUUUUGAUUUUUGCUGUGUUAAUAUUAGUUUUUGUAUAUUGUUUAUAAAUUAUGCCGUUGUUUUUCUCUUUUGAAUUGUUGUACACGAGUUUUUGUGUGGUUUAUAUAACUAGCUAUUCGACUAUAGCCGAUACUCAACGCCUUGGGUCAUAAGUUAUUAAGUGCGCACAUCAGCAACACGUACCAAUUGUUUUGCAAUGGUCGUUCUGAUAACCUGAAGUUAUAAAACUACUAUUUAUCUGAUGGGUUAGCCGCUUCCGUUUUUAGAUCGAGACUUGUGUCAUCGGCAAUCAUAUGAUUAUACUUCACAACAUAGAAGGAGUUUCUAAAUUAAAUUUGGACGAAUUGAAAUACUUUGACACUUGGUGUAUUUUGACUUUUUCUCUCUCUUUUACGGUUUGGACCUUCCCCUUACUGUCGCCAGUUUUCUAUGUUGAUGAGAAAACCUUUUAUCCACUAUCCUGACAGAA
rnacentral:lncRNA from 1 species